UAGCUAGUUGGUGAGGUAAAGGCUUACCAAGGCGACGAUCUGUAGCGGGUCUGAGAGGAUGAUCCGCCACACUGGAACUGAGACACGGUCCAGACUCCUACGGGAGGCAGCAGUGGGGAAUUUUGGACAAUGGGGGCAACCCUGAUCCAGCCAUGCCGCGUGAGUGAAGAAGGCCUUCGGGUUGUAAAGCUCUUUCGGCCGGGAAGAAAUCGCAUGGGCCAAUACCCUGUGUGGAUGACGGUACCGGAAUAAGAAGCACCGGCUAACUACGUGCCAGCAGCCGCGGUAAUACGUAGGGUGCGAGCGUUAAUCGGAAUUACUGGGCGUAAAGCGUGCGCAGGCGGUUUUGUAAGACAGGCGUGAAAUCCCCGGGCUUAACCUGGGAACUGCGUUUGUGACUGCAAGGCUAGAGUACGGCAGAGGGGGGUGGAAUUCCACGUGUAGCAGUGAAAUGCGUAGAGAUGUGGAGGAACACCAAUGGCGAAGGCAGCCCCCUGGGUCUAUACUGACGCUCAUGCACGAAAGCGUGGGUAGCAAACAGGAUUAGGUACCCUGGUAGUCCACGCCCUAAACUAUGUCAACUAGGUGUUGGGUGGGUAAAACCAUUUAGUACCGUAGCUAACGCGUGAAGUUGACCGCCUGGGGAGUACGGCCGCAAGGUUAAAACUCAAAGGAAUUGACGGGGACCCGCACAAGCGGUGGAUGAUGUGGAUUAAUUCGAUGCAACGCGAAAAACCUUACCUACCCUUGACAUGCCAGGAACUUGCCAGAGAUGGCUUGGUGCCCGAAAGGGAGCCUGGACACAGGUGCUGCAUGGCUGUCGUCAGCUCGUGUCGUGAGAUGUUGGGUUAAGUCCCGCAACGAGCGCAACCCUUGUCGUUAAUUGCCAUCAUUUGGUUGGGCACUUUAACGAGACUGCCGGUGACAAACCGGAGGAAGGUGGGGAUGACGUCAAGUCCUCAUGGCCCUUAUGGGUAGGGCCUCACACGUCAUACAAUGGUCGGUACAAAGGGUUGCCAAGCCGCGAGGCGGAGCCAAUCCCAGAAAGCCGAUCGUAGUCCGGAUUGCAGGCUGCAACUCGCCUGCAUGAAGUCGGAAUCGCUAGUAAUCGUGGAUCAGCAUGUCACGGUGAAUACGUUCCCGGGUCUUGUACACACCGCCCGUCACACCAUGGGAGCGGGUUCCGCCAGAAGUAGGUAGCCUAACCGCAGGGGGGCGCUUACCACGGCGGGGUUCGUGACUGGGGUGAAGUCGUAACAAGGUAGCCGUAGGGGAACCUGCGGCUG
rnacentral:rRNA from 1 species